rnacentral:lncRNA from 1 species
UUAUAAUUCUUUGGGAAUACUUCAAAUAUCACUCCGGUAAUUUCACACUUUCUCACUUUAAUUAGUAUCAUGUGGUUUAAAGUGUAUCAAUUUAGUGCCAUGUGGUUUCAUUUUUAUCUUUUUAUUAUCGAUUCCACUAAUUUUUUUGUUAAAUCAGUGACAAAGUUAAAAUUAGAGGGUACUAAAGUGAAUAUUCGAUAAAUCUAGGCGAGGUAUCUGAAGUUUUUAGUAUAUAAUUUAACGAAAUGUUAACGAAAAAACUGACGAAAAAAUAAAAAUAAAACCACAGGACACUAACUUGAUGCACUUUAAACCACAAGGCACUAAAAUGAAAAAGUACGAAACCACAUGAAUAGCAUUUGAAGUUUACCCUAAUUCUUUUUAGCGAUAUAAAUAAUUUUGUCCUAAGAGGGGGAAAAAAAAGCAAGGUGUUGGUAAAAUUGUUGUUAUAUAAGACUAGGAAAACAAAGUAAAUGAUUCACGGUAUUUUGAACGUAAAAAUAUAGUGAAUGAU